CCUACGGGAGGCUGCAGUGAGGAAUAUUGGUCAAUGGACGAGAGCCUGAACCAGCCAAGUAGCGUGAAGGAUGACUGCCCUACGGGUUGUAAACUUCUUUUAUAUGGGAAUAAAAUGGUCCACGUGUGGGAUUUUGUAUGUACCUUAUGAAUAAGGAUCGGCUAACUCCGUGCCAGCAGCCGCGGUAAUACGGAGGAUCCGAGCGUUAUCCGGAUUUAUUGGGUUUAAAGGGAGCGUAGGUGGAUUGUUAAGUCAGUUGUGAAAGUUUGCGGCUCAACCGUAAAAUUGCAGUUGAAACUGGCAGUCUUGAGUACAGUAGAGGUGGGCGGAAUUCGUGGUGUAGCGGUGAAAUGCUUAGAUAUCACGAAGAACUCCGAUUGCGAAGGCAGCUCACUGGACUGCAACUGACACUGAGGCUCGAAAGUGUGGGUAUCAAACAGGAUUAGAUACCCGGGUAGUC
rnacentral:rRNA from 1 species